AGAAACAAGACCAGUGUUUUUGGGAGAGUAACGUUAUUUCAUACGCUGGCGUGUGCUAAAAGCACAGGUUGGGCCUCCCACUGAUGCCUCAGUGGCGAAGUUUCUACUCGACAGGUUCUGAUCAUUAGCAGAAAUCGUGGUAUGGACUGGAAGUAAUCACAGCAAGAAAUGGAGAAGACAACGUUCAGGAUAAUUGUACAUGACACUGAUAUCAGGAAAAUUACUCUUACUGGGAAGCCAAAGACCCUUGAUUCACUUGUUCAACAGCUUGAGGUGGUGUUGGAUCUUCAGUACAAGUUCUCCCUUCAGUACGAGGAUCCGGAAUUCAACAAUGCUCUCGUCAACCUCACUGACAUUGCUGACCUGCUUGACAAAGCAACCUUAAAAAUCAUCCCCCUAGUGCCAGCAGCCACACCAAGCACACAAA